rnacentral:lncRNA from 1 species
AUGGGGGCCUCUCUUGCAGUUUCAGAGGUUUAGUUCAACAUCAUCUUGGCAGGAAGCAUGGUGGCACACAGGCAAACAUGGUGGUGGAGAAGGAGCAGAGAGUUCUAUAUCUGAAUCCAAAAGCAGCAGGAAGAAAUAGAGCCAAAAUCCAAAGCCUGCCUGUAGUGACACAUUUCUUCCUAUAAGACCAUGCCUACUCCAACAAGGCCACACCUCCUAAUGCUACUUCCUAAAUAUUCAACUAUGAAUCUAUUGGGGCCAUUCUUUUUUCUUUUUAAUUUCAGUAGGUAUAUAUAUUUUUAUUAGGUAGUUUCUUUAUUUACAUUUCCAAUGCUAUCCCAAAAGUCCCCCAUACCCGCCCCCCACUCCCCUACCCACCUACUCCCACUUUUUGGCCCUGGCAUUCCCCUGUACUGAGGUAUAUAAAGUUUGCACGACCAAUGGGCCUCUAUUUCCACUGAUGGCUGACUAGGCCAAAUUCUGAUACAUGUGCAGCUAGAGACACGAGUUCUGGGGGGUACUGGUUAGUUCAUAUUGUUGCUCCACAUAUAGGGUUGCAGAUCCCUUUAGCUCCUUGGGUACUUACUCUAGCUUCUCCAAUGGGGGCCCUGUGAUCCAUCCAAUAGCUGACUGUGAGCAUCCACUUCUGUGUUUGCUAGCCCCCAGCAUAGCCUCACAAGAGACAGCUAUCUCUGGGUCCUUUCAGCAAAAUCUUGCUAGUGUAUACAAUGGUGUCAGCGUUUGUAGGCUGAUUAUGGGAUGGAUCUCUGGGUAUGGCAGCCUCUAGAUGGUCCAUCCUUUCGUCUCAGCUCCAAACUUUGUCUCUGUAACUCCUUCCAUGGUGUUUUGUUCCCAAUUCUAAGAAGGGGCAGUGUCCACAUUUCGGUCUUCGUUCUCCUUGAGUUUCAUGUGUUUUGCAGAUUGUAUCUUGUAUCUUGGGUAUUCUAAGUUUCUGAGCUAAUAUCCACUUAUCAGUGAGUACAUAUGUGAGUUCUUUUGUGAUUGGAUUACCUCACUCAGGAUGAUGCCCUCCAGGUCUAUCCAUUUGCCUAGGAAUUUCAUAAAUUCAUUCUUUUUAAUAGCUGAGUAGUACACCAUUGUGUAAAAGUACCACAUUUUCUGUAUCCAUUCCUCUGUUGAGGGACAUCUGGGUUCUUUCCAGCUUCUGGCUAUUAUAAAUAAGGCUGCUAUGAACAUAGUGGAGCAUGUGUUUUUCUUACCAGUUGGAACAUCUUCGGGAUAUAUGCCCAGGAGAGGUAUUGCUGGAUCCUCCAGUGGUACUAUGUCCAAUUUUCUGAGGAACUGUCAGGCUGAUUUCCACAGUGGUUGUACAAGCUUGCAAUGCCACCAACAGUGGAGGCGUGUUCUUCUUUCUCCACAUCCUCGCUAGCAUCUGCUGUCACCUGAGUUUUUGAUCUUAGCCAUUCUGACUGGUGUGAGGUGAAAUCUCGGGGUUGCGUUGAUUUGCAUUUCCCUAAUGAUUAAGGAUGCUGAACAUUUUUUUAGGUGCUUCUCAGCCAUUUGUUAUUCCUCAGGUGAGAAUUCUUUGUUUAGCUCUGAGCCCCAUUUUUUAAUUAAUUUGAUUUUCUGGGGUCCAGCUUCUUGAGCUCUUUGUAUAUAUUGGAUAUUAGUCCCCUAUCAAAUUUAGGAUAGGUAACGAUCCUUUUCCAAUCUGUUGGUGGCCUUUUUUUCUUAUUCACAGUGUCUUUUGCCUUACAGAUGUUUUGCAAUUUUAUGAGGUCCCAUUUGUUGAUUCUUGAUCUUACAGCACAAGCCAUUGCUGUUCUAUUCAGGAAUUUUUCCCCUGUGCCCAUAUUUUCGAGGUUUUUCCCCACUUUCUCCUCUAUAAGUUUCACUCUCUCUGGUUUUAUGUGGAAUUCCUUGAUCCACUUAGAUUUGACCUUAGUACAAGGAGAUAGGAAUGGAUCAAUUCUCAUUCUUCUACAUGAUAACCGCCAGUUGUGCCAGGACCAUUAGUUGAAAAUGCUGUCUUUUUUCCACUGGGUGGUUUUAGCUCUAUGGGGACCAUUCUUAUUCAAACCACCAUGUUAUUUGUAGAACACUGAAAAAGUUGUCAAUACAUACACACACACACACACACACACACACACACACACACACACACAGACACACACAUAUAUAUAUGUUAUGAACUGCCACACAUAUGCAUUCAGUUAUUUUUCUCUUAUAAUAGGUUCUAGUAUGCUUAUGACAUGCACAAACAGUAAGUAUGCUUAUAAUAGUCUCACUUUUAAAAGUUUAUGAAUAAAUUCUUUGCUGAAAGCAGUGUGCAUAUACCUAUCUUUUACUAGUUAUAAAAUAAAUUUAAAUGAAACUAUAGAAGAGAAAAUGACAAAGGCUUGACUUACACACAAUUGAAACACCCUGGAUAAGAAAUUUUUCUUUUUAUAAAACAAAGAUCAUUUGUAUAUUGUUUCAUUAUCAUAAUUUAUUUCUAAUGAUUCUGCAACAUGAAAUUCUUCAUUUUGAUUAACUUCUUUUCAGGUGUCCUAUGACUUUUGCUUAAAGAAUAAUCUUACAUUUUUUUUAAAUCAAGUUUCUUCAUGGUUUUUUAUUACCAUUUAAUUUUAAGAUCAUAAGUGACAACUGCAGCAAGGUUGGAACAGGAACAAUUGCUUUCAGUUUAAUUUCUGGAAAAGAAAGUUCAAACCUUAAAGAUGGCAGAAGCUGAGGAGUUCUACAAGCCUUGCCUUACAUAACUGAGCUCUGCCUUCUGCUUUAACCCCAAAAGCACACAGUAAAUGCAGUGGCUUAGUAAUUACUACCACUACUACUACUAAUAAUACUAAUACUACUACUAAUACUAAUAAUACUCUAACAAAUUGUUUCAACUAAAAAUAAUUCAUGCAGUAAGUUUACAAGCAAAAUUGUCUGUGCUUGAGUUUGUAGUUAAGUGGCAUAUCUAAGAAGUAAUAAAGCAUACCACCCUGUAACUCUAUCAUAAUGCAUAUUCUGGUAAGUGUAAGUCAUAUUUAGUGGGCUCAGGAGGGCUUUAAUAACAAAUAUCUACCAUUGUUGCUGUAAACUGCACAUGGAAAUAAAAAGAGACAGUGUCUUGAUUGUCAUGCCUUAUCUGCUAGAAUCUUGCUUAUAUCAGCUUUACAUUUCAAUUGCACUCAUCACAUUUCUAUAAACAUUCUAUAUUAUCUAACAGUUAAGUCUAUGUCUUAUUCUUUGUGCGGUUCAGUAUUGAGGAGGUAGGACUGUGUAAGCCCCCUUUUCAUUGUUACUUUUUAGUCAAAUAAUUCUAUACUUAUUAAACAAUUAUGGUGAGAAUCCAGAUCUAUAUUCUAUAUAGGAUGUCAGUUGAUGGUAGCCUUUGAACAGAAUAAUACAAUGCAGUUUACCAAUGUGUAGUGUCAUACAAUAUUUUGAAUUAUAUAUUAAUUUUAAUAUCCCUAAUCACCAAGAGGAAAGUGAUUCCUGGUUCUGUUAAUAUAAAAUAUUUUGAGGUACCAUGACAUGAAAUGCAAACAUUCAAAAUUUGAAAUAAUGUCUUCUAAAGUUUAUAAUGCAAAAAUAAAUAUUUUAUUAGAUAAGCAUACUUUAAAAUAUCAAAAAUUUUAGCUGUAUAUUAAGUACUGUAUUAAUAAUCUUUUAAAUUCUUUUGUAUUAAAUUUUUAGUUACUGCUUGUUUUUUUGCAGUUAAUUUUAUUAAAUAAUAUCGUUGCUAUUAUUUGACUAAAGCUAACAACAUUCUGCUCAUAACUCUCAACAAGGAGUAUGUGCUGUAAUCGAUAUCAUAAUUUAUAAUCUAUUCUAGAUGAUUCUUUAGAGGAGGAAAACAUUGAGCAAGGAAGGUUAUCAGCAAAAAUAGAACACAGCAAGUAAUAUAAAAAUAGCAUUCUCCUCCCUGUCUCUUUCAGUCUGGGUAAAGCAUUCCCCCUAUGAUUUUAUACAAGCUCAAAAAGUGCUAUUAAAGACUCACUUUUUAUUGAGGUAACUCUGAGCUAUUCCAAAUAUAACCAUUACCAGUCUACAGUGAUAUGAUAUUUUGUUAAAACAGUGGUUGAAUUCUCAAACACUUAUUCUGUAUCACUGCUCCAAGCCUUAACUUGAGUAAGGCUUCUGUCUAAACUAAUACCAAUAGAGAGAAAACAAAGAAGC